ACCUCUUUAUAAUGAAUAAACUCGUGUGUAAAUGCAGGUAAACUAUAUUCCAGGAGUCUUGCAUAUCCUACUCUAGAUUCGUAAAAAAAUUAAAAAAUGAAUAACGGUGAAAAUUCGUUUGUUAUUGAGCCAGGAAUCCGGUCGCUUCAGAGUGGCUGAGACUUUGAUUGCCAACAGAAGAUACAAUCUGGGCAUUUCGCUGAUCAGGACAAGCAUUUGACGGCAUAUGGUUUAUGUUCUUUUACAGGUUUACAGUUGUGCGGGUCGAUAACGCUGGUCUUCUUGAAAUCGAAGAGAGACGAAUUUUCUAAACUCUGUCCUUGCUAAGGUGUUCAUCCGCCUUUUCCUUAAGUUUUAUCGAAAAAAAAAAUGUCUGUUUGUAUGUCUAGCCCAGCGACGCAGGCAAAUACAUUAUAACCUGGCUUAUAGAAAUCGUCGACAGGUUAACGAUAUACAGUGUGUUUGUGCGCGGCAAGAAUAGUUUGCUAAAUUUAGGUCAUUGUAACAAGUGGUCAGCCAUAAAGGUUUUCAAAGAAGAACAGCGAUCACGCUUUUUACUUUUUCUGCACGGCUAAUUUGCUUUUAGCCUCAGCUUCAUCUAAAAAUCACUUACGCACUCUUGCAAUUUUAUGAAAUAUUUCUAGCCCCAACAAAAACAAUCUAGAGAAAACUGCAGAAACUCAAAUUAAAUGAAUAAGGACCUGAACUUCCGUAACGAUUUCGCGUCCAAACUAACACAGCAAAUAGAGUAUAUAAAGAGGGCGGAGCAGUUGAAUACUAAGGUCUUUCUGUGACUCGCUAGAUUGACGGACGUACAGAGACAAUUUGAUUACCGUAUCUUCUGCUACUUUAGGACCUCAGCAGUAUUUGUCUGAAGUUCUCUUCUGAUAGCAAUACUUUGGUUUCCAGAUGGAGCUAGGUCAUUUCGUGACGACGUAAAUAAACUUAGAAUAUCCAUAAGUUAAACUCGGCUAGCCUAUACUAGUGAUAGCGAUUUGUCAACUCAACGAAACCUUUCAUUUCAACGUGAACGGCAUCUAUGCUGAAAACGAGAACUGAGCCGACGAAACCCGGCAAAGGCCACAUUCUCGAAGGCCUCUAAAAGAAGGUAGCCUAUAAUACCUGCCUUGGAAACAAAUAAUGCAGAUGACCUAUCUUUGACAUCCUUGUGGAAAUUUUUUAAAUUGAAUUUACUGAGGAUUUUUGAGGCACGUCUCCAUAAAAUCAAUAUCGGCUUUUUUUUUGCUGCCAUGUCUAAGUCCUACUAAGUUUCGAUAUAUACACUAUAAUAUUGAAGUUCAAAAUUUCUCAGCAAAUACGAAAUCGUGAUAGCCAGCCACCUAUUCCAUAGUACCUUCAUCAAUAUUUAAGGCUUCCUCUAGCACACGGUACAGCUCCAUAUUUUAUUAGCUACCCAAAAAGUAUUCCGAAAACACUUUUUUGUACUUAUAAUUAUAUCUAAUCCGUGUACAUACGUGUUACAAUACGGCCCCUCUCUUAACUAUAUAGCAAAAAAGCUCUGCGGCGGUUACUGCAUACGUUAUCCUAUGCAGAGUUCCUUGACAGAUGGGGAGAGCCUUUCAAUCGUCCGCAUUGUCCGUUGCACCUGCCAGUCUUGUGGGCUUUCUGUAGACCGCAGUUACUUUUUCGCUGGUUGUUGUUACAACGGCUUCCUACAUCCGACCGACAAGCAGCUUUCGUGGGUGCAAGUAGAGCUGAGAAGCUGGACACAGCAUUACAAGAAGCCUGCGAAUUAGCCCGCUACAACGGUGUUCAGACGAGGAGUGUUCGUAAUGAACUGCCAGGUUGCGCACACAUUCUACAUACGUAGCCUCGGUUUCGAUCUGGGCAGCUUAUACCUCACCGUCGACGGCUUCUACCUCCUGACGGUAUUCUACGUGCCCCAGAACCUUGCGGGGUGUUAAUAGGUUUGUCUAUCAACAGUUGAGUUAGUGCCGCUUCCGCCGUGUAUCCUCCUCCUCUUUAUGUCUAUCGUUCCAUUCUACAUUAAGGACAGUGACGAGAACAGCCUGCAUCGUAGCGAUCUAACCACCCAAACAGGCAGUAGGCUGUGCCUCUUGUUAUGGACACUGUCUGAAACGUUCACGACGGUUUCGAUAGAGGAAGAUACCAUUGUAACUAGACAUGUUAUAAGUGGAUCAAAUGAUUAGCAGAUUGCAGCCACAGACCUGUUGCGGCUAUGGCCUACUACUGGCUAUAUUGGCACUAGUUAUACUGGUGAAUCGCUGAAGCAUUACUCGUCGCGAGGACAGAUACGGCGCACAGACGAAUAAUUAUCGCCUACGCGUAGUCUGUAUAGCAGUUAGUUUCUCGAUCUGUCAAGAUCGGAAAUGAGAUUCGCGUACUGUCAGUGCACAGAAAGAACAACAGAGACGGAGUUGACAGGAGGUGUAUCAGAAAAUAUCACGAUAGUUAAGCAGAAGACGAGAGAGAACCAAAACGUAAAAAAUUCUAGGCCACUAUUUCGUUGUUUCUUACGCAAUGAACAGACAUCUGGGUCGUGCACGCAUCGACAAGGCUUGCAGCUUACCUGCAUCUAGAAUAGAAAUAUGGCCGUGUGACUAUGACGCGGUUGUCAUUUAUGUGGUGCCUGAAAACGGAGAAGACCAUAAGAGAACUCGUCUACGAGACUAGAAAGACAAUGUGUGCCUAGUGUCAAACCUCAGUUUAUUGCUCUCCCAGGAAAAUCCGAAAAUUGCGCGCAUAUUGCCUGAGCCAUCCAGUUACUAGGCGCCGAAUGCUUUUACCCUAUUAUUUCGAGGCAGAAUCGAGGAUAUCCGUUAGUCAAAGUGGUACCUGCGUGUACCCUAGUAAGUAGUAGCCGUCGUCGCUGGAAUUAGCUCAAAUACAGUUACCGGUGUCGUGUGUCGUCGAUAACCAAACAUGGAUAACUCGGCCAUCGAUUGUUGCCUAUAAUUUCCAGGGAUACAGGUCCUGAUCACCGGAUAUGGCGCUGAUUUCUGAACGGCCAAUCGGUCUUCAAACCCCGGGAGUCUAGACCUCUGUCUUCAUUUACCCAGUUCCUAUGUUUGCCAUCCUGUAGUGAGACGAUCGACUUAUGUUUGAAGAAGAUGUAGGCAUCGUUCA